rnacentral:lncRNA from 1 species
UGUUCAUCGACGACACACCGUUGUGUUGUGGAUGAGAAAGACGUACACAAAUCAUAUUACUAAAAACUUUAUACGUCUACAAGGAUCCAAGGUUUUUCCCACCUCGUAGCGUCGUCAAGAUGCUGACUAGAGAGAAGGGGGACCAGCAAAUCCCUGACGACGGCUACAACUUUGCGUUCCUCGUUGCAAACCCUGGAGUCUCUCCGCUCCAACACGAUUUGAUUGUGAAUCAGUCGAAAGAAAAAGAAUAAAAGGGAAAUCACCUUACCAUGUUGGGCUGGUUCGGGACUGACACCUCAAUGAGUUGGGCCCUUUCUUCUCCACGCGUCGACCAACUUUCGUGCAUUGACCAAAUUUCCCUCUCUCUUUCGUUCUCUCACUGUUAGGCUCACCGUCUCCAGUCUCCACAAUGCAAAUCGCGAACAGUGUAAGAGAGCCACACCGCGGACGCCGUCAAUUUUUUUUUUAAGAACGCCGUCAAAUUUGACCAUCUCACCGUCAAGAACCAAGCCUCGGAGUUCCUUCUCCUUAAUCCGUUUCCGUGUCAAAGACCUCUUGUCAGGUACUGUUUGGUGCUAGAACAUGGUGAAAUGCAAUGAUCACAUUUUAGAUUUGAGGACAAUUCUUGUGUUUAGUUUUUAGAAUAUAGAAAACUGGAAUUAAACCGUAUGGUUACUCAAAAUGGAAUAUCCCUUAACAUGUUGAACCAUAUGGUAACUAAAAAAAGUAGGAGAUUGUUUGAGGUGUUUUUUCUAGAAUAUAAAAAACUAGAACCGUCUCGUGUCAUUUCAGAUUGC